rnacentral:tRNA from 1 species
GCUGGUGUGGCGGAACGGCAGACGCAUUCGACUCAAAAUCGAACGAGAAAUCGUGUGGGUUCAAAUCCCACCAUCAGCA